AGGGCGCUGGGUGGAUGCCUAGGCGUCAGAAGCCGAAGAAGGACGUGGUACACUGCGAAAAGCCUCGGGGAGCCGUGUGCAGGCGCUAAUCCGAGGGUAUCCGAAUGGGGAAACCCGUCCGGGGGAAGCCCGGACACCGUUGACUGAACACAUAGGUCAAACGGGGGGCACGCGGGGAACUGAAACAUCUUAGUACCCGCAGGAAAAGAGAGAAUUCCCUGAGUAGUGGCGAGCGAAAGGGGAGUAGCCCAAACCGCUGAGGCUAAGUGGUCUGCAAGCCUAAGCCUCAGGCGGGGUUGUAGGACCUGAUCGGGUGUGUUGCAGGACACCCAGAGAGUUACCAGAAGCAGGAGUUAGGGGAAGUGCACUGGAAAGGCGCACCGGAGAGGGUGAGAGUCCCGUACCCGAAAACUGCUGCUCUCUCAUCAGGCACCUGAGUACCACGGGGCACGCUAAUCCCGUGGGAAGCUGGGGGGUCCACCUCCCAAGGCUAAAUACUUCUGACGACCGAUAGCGAACAAGUACCGUGAGGGAAAGGUGAAAAGGACCCCGGUGAGGGGAGUGAAAUAGAACCUGAAACCCAGUGUCUACAAGCAGUCGGGGGGCUAUGGCGACCCGUAAGGGGAGCAAGGCCCGACGGCAUGCCUUUUGGAGAAUGAACCAGCGAGUUACUCUCUGUGGCAAGGUUAAGGCAGAGACAGCCGGAGCCGUAGGGAAACCGAGUCCGAAUAGGGCGUAGAGUCGCAGGGAGUAGGCACGAAACCAGGUGAGCUACCCAUGGUCAGGCUGAAGCGGGGCUAAUCCCCCGUGGAGGGCCGAACCUAUCUCCGUUGCAAAGGGGUGGGAUGAACUGUGGGUAGGGGUGAUAUGCCAAACGAACUUGGAGAUAGCUUGUUCUCCCCGAAAUAGCUUUAGGGCUAGCCCCACGUGUUUAGUUUUGGAGGUAGAGCACUGGAUGGACUAGGGGACGUAAGUCUACCAAACCCAACCAAACUCCGAAUGCCAAGACUCGAGAGCGUGGGAGUCGGACUGCGAAUGAUGAGAUCCGUAGUCGAGAGGGAAAGAACCCAGACCAUCAGCUAAGGUCCCCAAGUGCCAGCUAAGUGGGAAACGAUGUGAGAGUGCACAGACAGCCAGGAGGUUGGCUCAGAAGCAGCCAUCCUUUAAAGAGUGCGUAAUAGCUCACUGGUCGAGCGCUGUUGCGCGGAAAAUGUAACGGGGCUCAAGCUGGUCACCGAAGCUAUGGAUUUACGCUGCUGAAGCGUGAGUGGUAGGGGAGCGUUCUGUGGGCGUCGAAGCCGUACCGGAAGGAGCGGUGGAGCGCACAGGAGUGAGAAUGCUGGGAUGAGUAGCGAGAAACACGUGAGAACCGUGUUCGCCGUAAGUCUAAGGGUUCCGACGGAAGGGCAAUCCGCGUCGGGUUAGUCGGGCCUAAGCCGAGGCCGAAGGGCGUAGGCGAUGGACAUCCGGUUAAUAUUCCGGAACCAGCAGGACGGAGCGAAGGGGGGACGCAGUGGGGUAAGUUAGCCGGGUGAUGGACGUCCCGGUCGAAGCGUGUAGGACGAUGAAGGGAGUAGGGAAAUCCGCUUUCUGAGUCCGAGGCGCGAUAGCGAGCGCAAGCGAAGUAACUGAGCCGUGCUGCCAAGAAAAGCCUCUAAGCGAUGAAGUCCUGGUGACCGUACCGCAAACCGACACAGGUGGACGGGUAGAGUAUACCAAGGCGAACGGGAGAACCUUCGUUAAGGAAUUCGGCAAAAUGGUCUCGUAACUUCGGGAGAAGAGACACCUCUGAGGGUGAAGGGCGGACGCCCGGAGCUUUUGGGGGGCACAGGAGAACGGCUCUAGCGACUGGUUACCAAAACCACAGGUCUCUGCCAACUCGGAAGAGGAAGUAUAGGGGCUGACACCUGCCCAGUGCCGGAAGGUUAAAGGGAGAGGUUAGCCGUAAGGCGAAGCUUUGAACUGAAGCCCCGGUGAACGGCGGCCGUAACUAUAACGGUCCUAAGGUAGCGAAAUUCCUUGUCGGGUAAGUUCCGACCCGCACGAAUGGUGUAACGACUAGAGCGCUGUCUCAACGAAGGACCCGGCGAAAUUGAAAACGCGGUAAAGAUGCCGUGUACCCGCAGCAGGACAAAAAGACCCCGUGGAGCUUUACUGUAGCUUGGCACUGAAAUAGGGUUUAACUUGUGUAGGAUAGGUGGGAGACGGAGAAGCCUGGUCGCCAGACUGGGUGGAGUCGACGGUGAAAUACCACCCUGGUUAAAUCUUGCUUCUAACCCUUAACCGUGAGCCGGGAAGGGGACCGUGCCAGGUGGGCAGUUUGACUGGGGUGGUCGCCUCCUAAAAGGUAGCGGAGGCGUUCAAAGGUUCCCUCAGGUGGAAUGGAAACCCACCGUAGAGUGCAAAGGCAAAAGGGAGCUUGACUGUGAGGCCGACAAGCCGAGCAGAUGCGCAAGCAGGACUUAGUGAUCCCACGGUACCGAGUGGAAGGGCCGUGGCUUACCGGAUAAAAGCUACCCCGGGGAUAACAGGGUGGUGAGGUCCAAGAGUUCACAUCGACGACCUCGCUCGCCACCUCGAUGUCGGCUCGUCACAUCCUGGGGCUGGACAAGGUCCCAAGGGUUGGGCUGUUCGCCCAUUAAAGUGGCACGCGAGCUGGGUUCAGACCGUCGUGAGACAGGUCGGUCUCUAUCCGCUGUGGGCGUAGGGGAUUUGCGAGGAUCUGCCCUCAGUACGAGAGGACCAGGGUGGACGGACCUCUGGUGUGUCAGUUGUAGCGCCAGCUGCAUAGCUGAGUAGCCACGUUCGGCAGGGAUAACCGCUGAAAGCAUCUAAGUGGGAAACCCGCCUCAAGAUGAGAUCCCCCAUCCCGUGAAGGGAGUAAGACCGCUGGAAGACUACCAGUUUGAUAGGCGGGGAGUGUAAGUGUAGUAAUGCAUUAAGCUAACCCGUACUAAAGGUCGAGGGCUUCCUUG
rnacentral:rRNA from 1 species